rnacentral:rRNA from 1 species
AUUGAACGCUGGCGGUAUGCUUAACACAUGCAAGUCGAACGGCAGCACGGUCUGUAGUAAUACAGAUGGGUGGCGAGUGGCGGACGGGUGAGUAAUACGCAGGAAUCUGCCCUAUAGAGGGGGAUAACUCGAGGAAACUCGAGCUAAUACCGCAUAGUCUCUACGGAGUAAAGCUGGGGCAACCUGGCGCUAUAGGAGGAGCCUGCGUCUGAUUAGCUAGUUGGUGGGGUAAAGGCCUACCAAGGCGACGAUCAGUAGGUGGUCUGAGAGGAUGAUCACCCACACUGGGACUGAGACACGGCCCAGACUCCUACGGGAGGGAGCAGUGGGGAAUAUUGGACAAUGGGGGCAACCCUGAUCCAGCAAUACCGCGUGUGUGAAGAAGGCCUUAGGGUUGUAAAGCACUUUAGGCGGGGAAGAAGGUAUGUAUUUUAAGAGAUAACAUAUUUGACGGUACCCGCAGAAUAAGCACCGGCUAACUCUGUGCCAGCAGCCGCCGUAA